UUGUUUUUAUUAAAUUUUGGCAGUUCUUUUGUUCACUUACAAUAUUUUUUUUUAAUUACUUCCCUUUAUGUUACUAAGAAUAGCUUAUUUAGUAACUUGUUUUUAUUAUUGGCCGUAGGAAAAAACCAAGACCACUUUUCUGUGGUACAACAUGGAUGGUACCUCCAAUUUUUAGGUGUAUUUUCAAAAAAAUUUGACAAUAUCUGUACCUUUAAGAAAAUUUCAACUAUAUUUUCUCAUGAUUCUUUUGAUUGAUCUUGAUUAUGAUUUUUUGACCUUCUUGUCCUUACUUGCAAUGAUAACAGGUGAGCGAUAUAGGGCCAUUAUGCCCCUCUUGUUUGAAGAAAGUGUGGAAGUGAAAUAUUCAGUGAGGAUGAAAGUCACCAUGUGAUAUGAAUUGUGUUGCUCAGGACUCCAGAUAAUUUUUUUGGCCUAUGAGUAUUUACUCAUCAUAAUUCUUGCGAAUAAGUAAAAUGGUAAAAUCUGAAAUUGACCAGGAGUAUUUUUACUCCUGAAAAUUUUUAAAUGAGAAAAUAAAAUAGAAAUGAGUUUUAUAACUUAUUUAUUGGGUGUAACACCCAUGAAUUUGUUUGCAGUUCAGUUUCAAUUCAGCAUUCAAGUUUUUGCUUCUUUUUCUCCAUUGGUUUGCUUUUGCUUCACACUCACUGCCAAAUCCAAUAGAUUAUUCAAUACUGGUUGGGAACCAUUUUCCGGACACGUUUUCAUAUUUCGGCUCCAUUAUUCCCUAAAAAAUAUUUGACAUAAAUGAAGCCUACACUGCACAAACUUCAGCUCCUUCCGCUUCCGAUGUAAUCAGCAGCGCGUUGUGACUUAAAAUAUGGGUUCCAUGGGGCCUCAAAUGGGGUCACUAAAAGAAGUUAUUUUCCUCGGCAGGAAAACCAGUUGCCGGACAAAUAUUUUGACAGUGUUUUGCUGUUAAUUUGAUAUCAAAAUAAGUAAUUGAACUAUUUCUACACAUUUCUUUAUCAUUCAUCUCUUCAAAAUUGCACAUGAAACAUAACCAGACGUUCAAUUGCAGCUACGAGAGCAAAGCGAGUUUGACUAUAAAAAACUCGAAUUUCGUCUAGCACGAAUUCUUGAUAAUUCCAAUACGUAUAGAAUAAAAUUAGUGCAAAAACCGACAGCACUGCUUCUUACGUAACUUUUACCGUGAAAUUAAAAGUAGAACAUGCUAUCAGCAGACAAUCAUUAUGUAGUUUAAUUAUUUCUUCCCCACUUGAUACCUCGGCAAGUGUGAACUACUGCGCAUGCACAAUGUUAUCUUCAUGCCCCGUUAAGCCGAAAGUUGUUUUGUAAACGCAGGUCACAGAGUUAUCAUAAAAAAAAAACAUUAUACAGCCUUAUAAUGUAGUUGUUUGUUGUUGACAUGAAGAACAAACUUCUAAACGAUCUAGAUGAAACAAUUACAUGAAUCGCAACGAAAUAAAGAGAAUAUUACAUGUGUCCGGAAACUGGUCCUGUCCGGAAAAUGGUUCCCAACCAGUAUACCUUUAACAAUGUUUUGGGAAUCAUUUUUUGUUGGUUUAAAGAAUGCAUAGCACGUUUGUUCACUUCAUACAUUCUUUGAAAGAGACAUGUUGUUGUUUACUCCACACCGGAAGUUGAUAUUUUAAAUAGACACCGCUUUAAAAUACACUCCUUACCAUCAGUAUUAAUUCCCAACAAUUUGAUUUACGCACGAAUUGAGUGUAUAAUAUAGUUAAACCUAGUAGGUUUAUAGAGUACCAUUCAAUGCCUGUGUACGUUUAAUGUGGCAGAAUGAAUGCCGAUCGUGCUCUGUUAAAUGUAAAGCAUCCAGACGAUUCAGAUUUUGUUUACGCUAGUAAAAAGUCAUUACAUGCGUUUCUGUAAUUUCAUGUACGUUUUUAUACGCUAAAAAUUUAGCAGACAUGCGUAUAUGCAUUAUUUCAAAGCGUAAUUUACGCUAAUACGCAUCUUAUCUGGAGCCCUGAAUUGCUGUUAUGUCAGUUAAACUUAGCAAAACAGACAAUGAAGAUGAAUGAGGCUUACUUUGCUUUUGGCAAUCGACUGAUGUAAAAGGAUGCUUUGAAUUAUCCUAUCGGUCAAAUUAUAGCAUUACUGAUUUAUUUUUAAAAACAAAGAAAAAUGAAUAUCUUUAAGUUUAAUGUGGCAGUCUUAGUCUACAUUACUUAUGAAAAUACUGGUAGUUUAUUGCAGAAUGACAUGUACUGAUACUGUAUGAUUAUUUUGUGAUUUACAGAAACAGGCACCGUGGUAACAGGCUGCUUAGGGUCAUGAGAGAGAUGGCACAUAGAAUUAUGUUUAUUGACAUUUGUGAAAUCACAAACAGUUCUGGUCCAACAGAGACAAAUAUUUCUAAACCAGCAGACAAUGAAGCUCUCCAUUAUUGAUUAGAAGGCUAUUACAACAUCGACAUUCAGGAAAUCCUGGCCUUAUUAACAUGUAGAGAUCUUUCAUCUAAGAUCAUACCACCAGUUGCAAUCCAGAACCUAGAUUUCAGCACCACUAAGUAGUAAAUUCAUGGACCGUUAGUUUUACGUCCAGGAUCCCUCUUCAACUGAAAAUUUAUCAGACAAUGAUUGUACAGUUAUAUCUGGAUCUCAAGACAUUUAUGUAACAGUAACUUAGUCUUUACAAUCAACCAAUUCUACUAGACUUAAGUAGACAAAGACUGAUGAAAGUACUAAGGCGGAUCCCAGUUUAACUGAGAAGUAACUAAGCUUGCAGACCAGCAGUUGUGCAUAACUAUUUGCUAGCAUACCAGCUCCUAUGAAAUUGUAUGUAAUGUUUAAAAGAUAGCUUUUCGAUACAACAAUAUGAAUCUGAAUUAGAAUAAUGGCCCUCGCAGUGCAAUUCUAUUUAAACAAAGAAGUUGAGAUUUUAAAACCAGUAAAUAUAGAAUCACCUGUAAUGAUUAGCGACUUCUUUAAUUCUUUUGAUUAUGUGGAUGUUUAUGUUUUGAAAUUUGAGAACCUAAGUUGGAAACUUUAGAUAUUGUUGUUUGUUUUAGCUCACAUCAGUACAAAGAGGGCAAUAUGAACUCAUAACAGCUUGUCUAAUCAUACAUAACACAUAAUGAAUGUACAAAUUAUAUAUGUCAUAUCAUGUGUGUCUUUCGCUCUGUCAGUUCAUAUACUGCCAUUUGUUUAUUCACGACUUUGAAUACUCAGGGAAAUCAGAUUCAUUAUGUUUUACAUAACAUGCCUUUCUUAUAGACAAUACAUUUUUAGCUUGACUAUUCGUUGUAUGUAAGCUAGUAUCUCAGAAACCACUUGUGGGAAUGAAUUGAAACUUCACACAUUUGUUUACUGUGAUAAACUGACUUACAUUGCACAGGUGAAUAACUCUAUUGUGCUUUUUUACAAAAUUAUGCCCCUUUUUUACUUAGAAAUUUUUUGUUAAGGUUUUGUUUGUAAGCUGGUAUCUCAGUUACCACUUGUUGGAAUGGAUUGAAAGUUCACACACUUAUUUACUGUGAUAAACUGACUUAUAUUGCUCAGGUUCCAUAACUCUAUUUUGCCUUUUUACAAAAUUAUGCCCCUUUUUCGACUUUUUUCAUUCAAUUUGGCAAGGCUGUUGAAUAGUCGAGCGUUGCUGUCCUCCAACAGCUCUUGUUAAUUGAUAUGUAAGUAUACUGUCUGUAAUUUUGUAGCAGUUUCAUCCUCACUUAAUUGAUGCUAAGCAUUUUGUUACAUCAAUCCGAGAAUACACAUCUCAUGUCAUAUUAUCAUAUACUAGUACCUGUUUGAAUUGAUAGCACAGCUUUAGGCUUGGAGAAAAAAAUGAGCUUACAGAAGUGUAAAUAUGUUCCUCUUCUAGCCUGUUAUUUAUUUUUUAGUUCUUGUUUGUAUACUAAGAUUUGAAGUGUUUUCCAUAUAGUAUUGUACAUAAACAUGCAUUGUUUAAGUUGAAUUACAUGUAAAUAGGUUGUCUAUACAUGUAUAUAUCUUGUGUUUGGUUUUAUUGGAAGGAAAUACAGAUUGUUGUGUUAUUAUAUAGCAGACCACAUUGUAAAUGAGAUACUUGUAUACUUACCUUAUCAAUAUAAUUUUUGAAAAAAAAAAACAAAUAUUACACAGGAGCAUUUUAACAUUGUGUCGGUGGUAAAUUUUGUGCAAAUCUGUGUCACCCUUCAGAUCUGUUAACAAGGGACAUAAAUACAAAACACGCUUUUUUGUCUUUCAAAUGAAAUAAAGAUAUUCUGGUUAGAAAAGCUUUACAAAUUUCCUUUGACCUCCACAUCCUAGAAAUGUUUAAUGGUUUUAUAUUGCUUUUAAAUGAGUAUAGUUAUUAAUGAUGGUUUUAAAAUGUAAAAGUUUUAAAAUGCAUUCAUCUUAUGAACGGGGUAAACAAUGAGUAAAAAAUAAGGAAAAUCAAUGGUAAUCAUUUGGAAUGCAGAAGUAAAAAUUAGGCGAAAACAAGAAAUUAUAAAGAAUUUGCAAAUUAAUGUCUUUUUUAGAUAAAACCGGAUCUGCUUUGAUGCAUUCUAUGCCUCCAAAGUGUCUUUUUGACAGAUUGUAAUAUUUCAUUUUGGUUUCCAUAAUGGCUUUUAAACCGAGAUGUGUUUUUAAAUACAUAUUCUGCUGAUGCUAUGAUACACUCUUAUAGUUUUCCAUUAUACUGCCUUUCAGCAAUUUAUAUCGGUGUAAAGUUAUAUUGCAUUGUCUAUUGCACAGACUAUAGUAUACAACAUUGACUUCCCCUGUCAGCUGUUCUGAUUAUGAUUUUAUUUAUAGAUUUUAACAUCCCUCAAGAACAAUACUCUUCUAAAUUUUGAUGUUGGAAAUUAUUUGAUUGCCUUCAUAUAUGCAUUUUUAUUAGCUCACCUGAGCACUAAGUGCUCAAAGGUGAGCUUUUAUGAUCGCCCUGUGUCUGUCGUCGUCCGUCGUCAGUCAUCCGUCGUCAACAAUUUGACUGUUAACACUCUAGAGGUCACAAUUUUUGUUCAAACUUAAUGAAACUUGGUCAGAAUGUUACCCGUAAUAAAAUCUUGGACAUGUUUGAUAUUGGGUUAUCUGGGGUUAAAAACUAGGUCACAAGGUCAAAUCAAAGGGAAAGCUUGUUAACACUCUAGAGGUCAAAUUUUUGGCCCAAUCGUAAUGAAACUUGGUCAGAAUAUUACCCUCGAUAAAAUCUUAGGUAAGUUUGAUAUUGGGUCAUCUGGGUUCAAAAACCAGGUCACCAGGUCAGAUCGAAGGAAAGCUUGUUAACACUCGAGAGGUCACAAUUUUGGCCUAAUCUUAAUGAAACUUGGUCAGAAUGUUACCCUUAAUAAAGUCUUGGACAGGUUCGCUAUUGGGUCAUCCGGGGUCUAAAACUAGGUCACCAGGUCAAGUCAAAGGAAAAGCUUGUUAACACUGUAGAGGCCAGAUUUAUGACUGUAUAUUCAUGAAACUUGGUUUGAAUGCUAAUUUUGAUGAUUUCAAGGUCCAGUUUGAAUCUGGGUCAUAUAAGAUCAAAAACUGGGUCACCAGGUCAAAUCAAAGGAAAAGCUAGUUUACACUGUAGAGGCCACAUUUAUGACCAAAUCUUAAUGAAACUUGGUCAGAAUGUUAAUCUUGAUGAUUUAUAUGUCAUGUUCAAAUCCGGGUCAGGUGGAGUUAAAAACUAGGUCACUAGAUCAAUUCAAAGGAAAACCUUGUUAACUCUCUAGAGGCCACAUUUAUGACUGUAACUUCAUGAAACUUAGAGAGAAUGUUAAUCUUGGUUAUCUUUAGGUCAAGUUUGAAUCUGGGUCAUGUCGGGUCAAAUACUAGGUCACCAAGUCAAAUCAAAGGAAAAGCUUGUUAACACGCUAGAGGCCACAUUUAUGACUUUAUCUUCAUGAAACUUAGCCAGAAUGUUAAUAUUUGUGGUCUGUAGGUCAGGUUCGAAUCUGGGUCAUGUCGGGUUAAAAACUAGGUCACCGAGUCAAAUCAAAGAAAAAUCUUAUCACUCUAGGGGUCACAAUUUUGGCCCAACCUUAAUGAAACUUGGUCAGAAUGUUACCCUUAAUAAAGUCUUGGACAGGUUUGCUAUUGGGUCAUUCGGGUUCUAAAACUAGGUCACAAGGUCAAGUCAAAGGAAAAGCUUGUUAACACUGUAGAGGCCAGAUUUAUGACUGUAUCUUCACGAGACUUGGUUUGAAUGCUAAUCUUGAUGAUCUCGAGGUCCAGUUUGAAUCUGGGUCAUGUAGGAUCAAAAACUAAAUCACCAGGUCAAAUCAAAGGAAAAGCUAGUUUACACUGUAAAGGCCACAUUUAUGACCAAAUCUUAAUGAAACUUGGUCAGAAUGUUAAUUUUGAUGGUUUAUAGGUCAUGUUUAAAUCUAGGUGAGGUGGGGUUAAAAACUAGAUCACUAGAUCAGUUCAAAGGAAAAGCUUGUUAACUCUCUAGAUGCCACAUUUAUGAGCAUAUCUUAAUGAAACUUGGUCAGAAUGUUAAUCUUGAUGAUCUUUAGGUCAAUAGGUCAGGUGAGCGAUACAGAGCCUUCAUGGCCAUCUUGUUUGUAAUGUUAACAAUUUGGACCUUGUAUUUUCCAGCUACAUUUGUAGUUUACUUGUACAUAGUUUGUAUAUAACAUGUUCAUUCAUGUCAAAAUGCAUAGUAAGUUGUAAGUGCUCUCAAUAACAUAUGGGACCUGGCAGAAGAGUGAUUAAGGAGGCCGACUUCGAGUCAUGUACUUGCUCCUUUCUACUAAUGGUUUGAAAUGGGUCAGUGGUUCUACCUAUAUACCAGCCAAUGCCUAAAAAUGACGGGAGUACACUUGGGCCCCACCAUAUCAAAAGCAGAGAAGUUGUUAUAUGACAUGAUUGUGUUGACUGGCUGUUAAACAUAAUAAAAUGAUAACACAUACUCUCCAUUUAUCGAUGAUGUCCUCUGCAAAGUAAACUAUUUCAAAGGAGUUUGGAUUUGUAUAUUUGUCAAACUUGUAAAUAUGUAAAUAAACAUCACAUGUAUUUGCUGAGGUUGUGAAUAUGAAUAGGCAGCAGUGUUUAGGGUUUAGUUAUCAGUGUGUAAUUUAUGUACAUAUUAUUGUUUAUUUACCACUGAUGUAACAGACUCUGUGUUACAGUUCAGUCUUUAGAAUAGUGUGGUAAAAUAGGUUAAAAUAAUUUAGUUACAGUCUGUUCUAUAUAUAUAUUUCUGUUUGUACAUACAUGUAAUUUUAUUCAGUUAAGCUUUAAUGUAAAAUGUGUAUAUUAUUUUUGUCUUCAUUCAAACAAUGAUUAUGUUUGAAAUGUAAUGUGGAAUUUGUUAAAUGAACUCAGUAUACGCUAUUUAGUCCAAGAGCAUGAGAAGGGAAAUAACUGCUGGAGUAGAAUGUGACCUGUUCUAAAUAUCGGACAAUUGAUGUAUUGCCACUGUUACCACCAGGUAACGAUUAUUCCAUAGAAAAAAUUGCUAUUAAAGUCAUAUAUUUUCUGUCCAGUAAGGUAAAUUACAAGCAAAACAACCUUUACACAGCAUGAGCUUCUCUAAAUCUUUUUAUCAAAAUCAUGUUAGCCAUAUAAAUGAAGUUUGCUCGUGAGACAUUUUUACUGUAUACUUGUUGAUAAAUUUGCUAGAAAAUUACUUUGUUUGACAAUUUCGAUAAUGGUGCUUCAGGUUUGGAUUUCUAUAGCAUAAAGUAAACGGUCAAACCUGUAUAUAAAGGUCUUCCUUGCAAACGUCAAACAAUGGCCAUUGUGUUGGAGUGGCAUUUAUUCAUAGGUUAAAAUAAAGUAGAAAUAUUAAAUUUUGAAAUGAAAUUUACAGAACCUUUUAUAGUCAGUUGAGCUCAGCUCAUGGGGAUCAUUGGCAAAUAUUUUACUGUACAUAGUUAUUUCAUUUAAGAUAAACUAUUCAUAUUUUUAGCUCACCUGUCACAAAGUGACAAGGUGAGCUAUUGUGACCGCUUGAUGUCCGUCGUGUGUCGUGCGUCGUCCGUCAACAAUUUCUAAAAAUAUCUUCUUCUUGAAAACCACUGGGCAGAAUUACACCAAACUUCACAGGAAUGAUCCUUGGGUGGCCCCCUUUCAAAAUUAUUCAAAGAAUUGAAUUUCAUGCAGAACUCUGGUUGCCAUGGCAACCGAAAGGAAAAACUUUAAAAAUCUUCUUCUCAAAAACCAGAAGACCUAGAGCUUGGAUAUUUAGUGUGAAGCAUUGCCUAGUGGACCUCUACCAAAUUUGUUCAAGUCAUGACCCCGGGGUCAAAAUUGACCCCGCCCCAGGGGUCACUUGAUUUUACAUAGGAAAAUCUUGAAAAAUCUUCUCCUCAAAAACCAGAAGCCCUAGAGCUUAGAUAUUUGGUGUGAAGCAUUGCCUAGUGAACCUGUACCAAGUCUGUUUAAAUCAUGACCCCAGGGUCAAAAUUGACCCCGCCCCAGGGGUCACUUGAUUUUACAUAGGAAAAUCUUCAAAAUUUUUCUAAAAAUAAACCAGAAGGCCUAGAGCUUAGAUAUGUCAAAUGUAGCAUUGCCUAGUGGACAUCUACAACAUUUGUUCAAAUCAUGACCCGCGGGGUCAAAAUUGACCCCGCCCCAGGGGUCACUUGAUUUUACAUAGGAAAAUCUUAAAAAAUCUUCUUCUCAAAACAAGAAGCCCUAGAUCUUAGAUAUUUGACAUGUAGCAUUGCCUAGUGGACAUCUACUAAAGUUGUUCAAAUCAUGACCCCAGGGUCAAAAUUGACCCCGCCCCAGGGGUCACUUGAUUUUACGUAGGAAAAUCUUCAAAAUUUUUCUAAAAAUAAACCAGAAAGCCUAGAGCUUAGAUAUUUCACAUGUAGCAUUGCCUGGUGGACCUCUACAACAUUUGUUCAAAUCAUGACCCCCGGGGUCAAAAUUGACCCCUCCCGAGGGGUCACCUGAUUUUACAUAGGAAAAUCUUCAAAAAAUUUCUAAAAAUAAACCGGAAGGCCUAGAGCUUAGAUAUUUGACAUGUAGCAUUGCCUAGUGGACCUCUACAAAAUUUGUUCAAAUCAUGACCCCCGGUGUCAAAAUUGACCCAACCCAAGGGGCCACUUGAUUUUACAUAGGAAAAUCUUCAAAAAUUUUCUAAAAAUAAACCAGAAGGCCUAGAGCUUAGAUAUUUGACAUGUAGCAUUGCGUAGUGGACCUCUACAAAAUUUAUUCAAAUCAUGACCCCGCCCCAGGGGUCACUUGAUUUUACAUAGGAAAAUCUUCAAAAAAUUUCUAAAAAUAAACUAGAAGGCCUAGAUCUUAGAUAUUUGACAUGUGGCAUUGCCUAGUAGACUUCUAACCAAAUUUAUUCAGAUCAUGACCCCCGGGUUCAAAUUGACCCCACCCCAUGGGGUUACAUGAUUGUAGAUAGAAAAAUCUUCCAAAUUUUCUAAAAAUAAACCAGAAGGCCUAGAUCUUAGAUAUUUGACAUGUAGCAUUGCCUUUUGGACCUCUACAAAAUUUGUUCAAAUCUUGUUAAAAUGUAUAUGCCUAUAUGCUCUAUGUCAAAACUUGCUCAUAUCAUUUUGAGCAAUGGUACUCAGGUGAGCGAUACAGGGCCAUCAUGGCCCUCUUGUUAAUAAAUUCUUCACAUAUUUCAACCAUAUGUUGUUUCCCAUCUUAUCAGAAAGAAACUAUAUCCAUGCAAUCUGUUGAAGACCUUUAAAGUUUUACGUAAAAUCUGCAAACAAAAUUGGAAGUUUUCCUGUUUAAGCGCCUGUAAUUGUCUUUGACGUGUUUUAUUAAGGACUGAGGUAUUUUUUUUAAAAUGAUAACAGUGUGGUAGCUGUUGAACAUAAUAUAUAAUUUAAUAUAAUGACCAUGUUUGUGUCAAUACAUAUAAAUACAUGGAUAUCACUACAGAGGUAUUGUAGGAGAGAAAGCUUUUAUUUAUUUUUAGGCAAAAACAUCGAAACCAGUCCUUCAAAAGAUAAUAGGUAAGGGUAGAUUUCUCGGAAGCACAAAGCAUCGCAAGUACAACUGCAGUCUUUCAAGUUUCACUAAAACUUUUUAGUUCCACUUUUCGAAGAAUAGGGGGGCUAUACUACUCGCCCCGGCGUCGGCGUGACCCUUCUUGGUUAAAAUUUUUCGGCAACCUUUGUUUUUCUGUCAUAUCUUUGUUACUAUUGCUUAUAUCUUACUGUAACUUCACAUAAACAUUGUCCAGUAUACAAUCAAAGUAUGUGUAGGGGCUGAGCCCAUUAUACCCAAGGUCAAGGUCACCAAUGUGUUAUACUUAGGUUAUUUUGAAGGUUAAAGUUUUUCGGCAACCUUUGUUUUUCUGUCAUAUCUUUGUUACUAUUGCUUAUAUCUUACUGUAACUUCACAUAAACAUUGUCCAGUACCCAAAGUAUGUGUAGGGGCUGAGCCCAUUAUACCCAAGGUCAAGGUCACCAAGGUGUUACACUUAGGUUAUUUUUAAGGUUAAAGUUUUUUGGCAACCUUUGUUUUUAUGCCCCCGAAGGGAGGCAUAUAGUUUUUGAACCGUCGGUCUGUCGGUCUGUCAGUCUGUCGGUCUGUCCGCAUUUUUCGUGUCCGGUCCAUAUCUUUGUCAUCAAUGGAUGGAUUUUCAAAUAACUUGGCAUGAAUGUGUACCACAGUAAGACGACGUGUCGCGCGCAAGACCCAGGUCCGUAGCUCAAAGGUCAAGGUCACACUUAGACAUUAAAGGUUAUUGCAUUGAUGGGCGUGUCCGGUCCAUAUCUUUGUCAUCGAUGGAUGGAUUUUCAAAUAACUUGGCAUGAAUGUGUACCACAGUAAGACGAUGUGUCGCGCGCAAGACCCAGGUCCGUACCUCAAAGGUCAAGGUCACACUUAGACAUUAAGGGAUAGUGCAUUGAUGGGCGUGUCCGGUCCAUAUCUUUGUCAUCGAUGGAUGGAUUUUCAAAUAACUUGGCAUGAAUAUGUACCACAGUAAGACGAGGUGUCGCGCGCAAGACCCAGGUCCGUAUCUCAAAGGUCAAGGUCACACUUAGACAUUAAGGGAUAGUGCAUUGAUGGGCGUGUCCGGUCCAUAUCUUUGUCAUCGAUGGAUGGAUUUUCAAAUAACUUGGCAUGAAUGUGUUCCACAGUAAGACGACGUGUCAUGCGCAAGACCCAGGUCCGUAGCUCAAAGGUCAAGGUCACACUUAGAUGUUAAAGGUCUUUUUUCAUGAUAGUGCAUUGAUGGGCGUGUCCGGUCCAUAUCUUUGUCAUUCAUACAUGGAUUUUAAAAUAACUACGCAUAAAUGUGUGACACAGUAAGACGACGUGUCGCGCGCAGGACCCAGCUCCGUAGGUCAAAGGUCCUAAACUCGAACAUCGGCCAUAACUAUUCAUUUAAAGUGCCAUCGGGGGCAUGUGUCAUCCUAUGGAGACAGCUCUUGUUCUGUCAUAUCUUUGUUACUAUUGCUUAUAUCAUACUGUAAGUUCAAAUAAACAUUGUCCAGCAAACAAACGAAGUAUGUGUAGGCGCUGGGCCCAUUAUUCCCAAGGUUAAGGUCACCAAGGAGUUCUACUUAGAAUUAUUUUCAUGUUAAUUUUUUUUCGAAAGCUUCGUUUAUAGACAUAUCUUUGGUACUUUAAAAGAUAAUGACUUUAAAUUAAAAGUAUAUAUCAUCUGCAUGUGUGGCUACAUACGCCAUAACUCUAAUUGUGUUUUUGACAGAAUUAUGCCCCUUUUGUACUUAAACUUUUUUUUGCAAUCUUCCCUUUCUGGAUACUACUUUAAUGCAAUAUAAGAUAAAGACUUGAAACUUAAAAUGUGUCUUUAUCAUCAUCAUCUGCAUGUGUGGUAACAAUCACCAUAACUCUGAUUUAUAUUUUUGACCAAAUUAUGCCCCUUUUAUACUUAAUUUUUUUACAAACUUCGUUUUCUGGACAUAAAUUUGGUACUAUAUAAGAUAAUGACUUGAAACUCAAAAUAUAUCUUUACCAUCAUCAUCUGCAUGUAUUGUAACAAUCCUAAUAGCUCAAAUUUGUGUAUUUGAUGGAAUUAUGCCACUUGGUUUAUCUUCCUUUUAAAGUAGAGGUCUCUUAUUCAGACAUAUAUUCAUUUUACUGUCAAGUCCCAGAAUAGUGGAGCGCGCUGUCUUACGGCCAGCUCUUCUUUAUUAUUAUAAUGAAAGGCUAUUUUAGGAUAUGGAGCAUCUGAACGUCAUUACUUUAAUUUUAUUGUUUCUUUUAUAUAUUAUUAAUCAGGCCAUUUUAGUAAAGGUACAAUAGUACUAAAUAGGUAAUCCAGUCGCACUUCUCUUCUUAGAGAAAGAUACAGUCAUUGGAUAUCUUUAAUGUCUCAUGAACCGUGUUUUUAUGAGCCAGUAAAAAUGAUUUUGCCUGUACAACAUUUUAGUUUAAUUUUUCAUGACUUUUUUUCAUUAACCAGGAACGAUGACUUUGCCUAUACUCCGUUUUAAUGAUUCUUGAAUCGUAUUUCAUGAGCCAGGAACCAUGUCUUUGUCUCUACAUCUUUAGUUUAAUGUUUCGUGAACCGUGUUUUUAUGAGAAAGAAACCAUGAUUUUACCUGUAAAUCUGAAGUAUAAUAUGCCAUGAACUGUAUUUUUAUGAGCCAAGAACCAUACUUUUGACUAUACAUCUUCAGUUAAGUGUUUCAUGAACCAUGAUUUCAUGGACCAUGUUUUGCCUGUUUUGUGAUUAUUAUAAUUGAGCCGUGCCAUGGGAAAACCAACAUAGUGGCUUUGCGACCAGCAUGCAUCCAGACCAGCCUGCGCAUCCGCGCAGUCUGGUCAGGAUCCAUGCUGUUCGCUUUCAAAGCCUAUUGCAAUUAGAGAAACUGUUAGCGAACAGCAUGGAUCCUGACCAGACUGCGCGGAUGCGCAGGCUGGUCUGGAUGCAUGCUGGUCGCAAACCUACUAUGUUGGUUUUCCCAUGGCGCAGCUCAUAUGUUUAUGUUUAUCUUGCUAUCAAAUGUUAUGAUAUUUUCAAUGUAUUAGCUUACCAAAAUAUGUGGAAAACAUAUUUUACCAAUUAUAAACUUUAAUGUAAAAUGCUGUUCUAUUGAGAAUGUGUUGAAUUAAAAAGUAACAAUGAAA